rnacentral:rRNA from 1 species
UACGUAGGUGGCAAGCGUUGUCCGGAUUUACUGGGCGUAAAGGGCGUGCAGGCGGUUUGUCUAGUCUAGGGUGAAAGCUCCCGGCUUAACUGGGAGAGGUCCUUGGAUACUGGCAAACUUGAGGGAGGCAGAGGAAAGUGGAAUUCCCGGUGUAGUGGUGAUAUGCGUAGAUAUCGGGAGGAACACCGGUGGCGAAGGCGGCAUCCUGGACCAUUACUGACGCUGAGGCGCGAAAGCUAGGGGAGCAAACGGGAUUAAGAAACCCGGAGUAACGUCC